GAUGAACGCUGGCGGCGUGCCUAAUACAUGCAAGUCGAGCGAACAGACGAGGAGCUUGCUCCUCUGACGUUAGCGGCGGACGGGUGAGUAACACGUGGAUAACCUACCUAUAAGACUGGGAUAACUUCGGGAAACCGGAGCUAAUACCGGAUAAUAUAUUGAACCGCAUGGUUCAAUAGUGAAAGACGGUUUUGCUGUCACUUCUAGAUGGAUCCGCGCCGCAUUAGCUAGUUGGUAAGGUAACGGCUUACCAAGGCAACGAUGCGUAGCCGACCUGAGAGGGUGAUCGGCCACACUGGAACUGGGACACGCUCCAGACUCCUACGGGAGGCAGCAGUAGGGAAUCUUCCGCAAUGGGCGAAAGCCUGACGGAGCAACGCCGCGUGAGUGAUGAAGGUCUUCGGAUCGUAAAACUCUGUUAUUAGGGAAGAACAAAUGUGUAAGUAACUAUGCACGUCUUGACGGUACCUAAUCAGAAAGCCACGGCUAACUACGUG
rnacentral:rRNA from 1 species